rnacentral:misc_RNA from 1 species
AACCAUUCUCACCUGCGGCUAGACCUGCGGAGGGAUCAUUACAGAGUGUAAAAACUCCCAAAACCCAUGUGAACAUACCUUUUUGUUGCUUCGGCGGGAUCGCCCCGGGCGCCUUGUGUGCCCCGGAGUCAGGCGCCCGCCGGGGGACCCAAACUCUUGUUUUUAACGAGUAUCUUCUGAGUAACGUUUUUAAAUAAAUAAAAACUUUUAACAACGGAUCU